CCUUCUUGAUUGUCCUCGUGUCUUUACUCGUGAUGGUGGCCUUACUCAUCCGGGGCACGACUCUCACCGGCGUCAGCUUUGGCAUUGCCUACUACCUGCUACCGAAGUGGAGGAGACUUCUCGAAUACGAGGUUUGGCAGAAAGCCGCCGAGCAAGUGCUGAUUUCAUUGGGGCUCGCUCAGGGCAUGGUAAUCACGAUGGGGAGUUACAACGAAUUUUCAAACAACCCGCGCAUGUGA